AGGAUGAACGCUGGCGGCGUGCCUAAGUACAUGCAAGUCGAGCGGUAAGGCCUCUUCGGAGGUACACGAGCGGCGGACGGCUGAGUAACGCGUAGGAACCUACCCCGAAGUGAGGGAUAAGCACCAGAAAUGGUGUCUAAUACCGCAUGUGAUCCUAGGAUUAAAGCUUCGGCGCUUUGGGAAGGGCCUGCGUAUGAUUAGCUUGUUGGUGAGGUAAAAGCUCACCAAGGCGACGAUCAUUAGCUGGUCUGAGAGGAUGAUCAGCCAGACUGGGACUGAGAACGGCCCAGACUCCUACGGGAGGCAGCAGUAGGGAAUUUUCCACAAUGGGCG
rnacentral:rRNA from 1 species